rnacentral:misc_RNA from 1 species
AAAAAUCUUUUCUUGGACGAUGUGAAAUGGCUAAGCGAAUGGUCUGUAACUAUUGUUUAGUAUUUUUAAUAUUUGUCUGUUAUUUUAAGAAUAAUUGCAGCGUUUCGAAGCUGAAGCGGAACUAAGACUGACACAGAAUUCACCUACUUUCUACAGAACCAACACGCGCUACACCAUACCGUGAACCUACACAGAGUAUAUCUAUUUAAUUUUCAAACUUUUACAACACAAUGAGAGUAGUGAACUAAACUGUUGAAUGCACAUCAUAGUCCUUUCUUUGAUUGCCAAUAAUUCGUCCUAUGAUCACUUCUAAUAUCAAGAUAACAGGGGGCACAUGGUCACACACAUCAUUUCCCAUCGAAGGCGAUCGCGGUCCUGCUCAACUUUCUGGUCGAGGGAACCUCCUUGCAGCGUUCGCCAUUGUCCGUCGACAGUCUGUCUGUCUGUCCGCCACCCCGUUCGUCCGUCUCUCCGUGUUUCGUCUGGCCAGCCGUCAAAAGCGAUUCCACAUGCGCUUAGGGAAAUACUCGCAUCCCAGAUUCUCGAUAAGCGAACCACUUGCAGAUUAUGAACUACGGCAAUUUAAUAUACGCGAGAAACAGAUCGAUGAUCGGUCAAAGUGAAAACACCCACAGCCCAGGAAGAGGGCAGUAGAGGGGGAUCCAGAUUGUUGCCUUCGGAAAAAUUCGGUACAGUAUCCGAGAGAAGCCGAAUGUCACAGAACCACCGCGUGUGGAUGUAAGGACCUGACGUUCUAGCCGUCCUGAGAUAUUUCAUCUUUUUGAAUUUUCUUUCAUACAAGGUUGGAGAAAAUGUUGGCUACUAACCGCAUCUCACGUACUUAUUUGUUCUACAUCAUCGAUAAAUCGUCUUGGUUUAGUCCUAACUGAUUAUGUUGAGAUAUCAGUCUUGGCAGUUUGAAAACCGUUCAAAAUUAACAAUUCAAUAUCUAUACGUGCAGUUUGAUAGCUGAGAUUGAAAAGUCUAUCAAUGAUUCCUAUAGAUACAGUGUCGGUCCUCGAUUAUUGCUGGGCUUUGUAAGAUGUGUUAUCAAUGGGAGAUAAGGUCCUAAGCAGAUAUAAGUUAUGGAAGAGAUAAAAAAAAAAAAUUCUUUUGAGCAACUACCACUGAAGAUUAUCCUAAUUUACCUUUGAAAGACGUUGAGAACUUUUCGAAAAGUGCUCGAUCUAAGGAGCUUGGAGUACAUCUUGACUCCACAGAUUUCACAUAUGAACACUUAUCACUUCUAGCGUGGACACACUAUACCAACGACGCCACCGCCGGAACACUGGUAACUUACUGAUUAAACCCUGAAUUAUCUUUGAAUUACCGUUUUAUCA